AACGGAGAGGACAAGUGUUAUUCGUAUUGACUGGGUGUAAAGGGUGCGUAGGUGGCUGUUUAAGUUAAGGAUAGAUUUAGACAUUCUUAAUACUAUACGGCUAGAGUUAUAGGGAGGAGUGCGGUACUCUUGGUCUAGAAGUGACAUUCGUUUGAAAUCAAGAGGACCAACAAUAGGCGAUGGCUGCAUUUCAUUUAUACAUACUGACACUGAGGCACGAAAGCGUGGGGAGCGAACGGG
rnacentral:rRNA from 1 species